rnacentral:rRNA from 1 species
AUUGAACGCUGGCGGCAGGCCUAACACAUGCAAGUCGAACGAGUGGCGGACGGGUGAGUAAUGUCUGGGAAACUGUCUGAUGGAGGGGGAUCAAUCCUUGAAACGGUCGAUAAUACCGCAUACCAUGGGAUGUCCCCAGAUGGGAUUCGCUUGUAGGGGGGGUAAAGGCUCACCUAGGCGGGGAUCCCUAGCUGGUCUGAGAGGAUGACCGGCCACACUGGAACUGAGACACGGCCCAGACUCCUACGGGAGGCAGCAGUGGGGAAUAUUGCACAAUGGGCGCAAGCCUGAUGCAGCCAUGCCGCGUGUAUGAAGAAGGCCUUCGGGUUGUAAAGUACUUUCAGCGGGGAGGCGUUACCCGCAGAAGAAGCACCGGCUAACUCCGUGCCAGCAGCCGCGGUAAUAC